rnacentral:rRNA from 1 species
CCAGACUCCUACGGGAGGCAGCAGUGGGGGAUAUUGCACAAUGGGGGAAACCCUGAUGCAGCGACGCCGCGUGGGCGAAGAAGUAUUUCGGUAUGUAAAGCCCUAUCAGCAGGGAAGAAGAAAUGACGGUACCUGAGUAAGAAGCACCGGCUAAAUACGUGCCAGCAGCCGCGGUAAUACGUAGGGGGCGAGCGUUAUCCGGAUUCACUGGGUGUAAAGGGAGCGUAGACGGCCAUGCAAGCCAGGGGUGAAAGCCCGGGGCCCAACCCCGGGACUGCCCUUGGAACUGCAUGGCUGGAGUGCGGGAGGGGCAGGCGGAAUUCCUGGUGUAGCGGUGAAAUGCGUAGAUAUCAGGAGGAACACCGGCGGCGAAGGCGGCCUGCUGGACCGCGACUGACGUUGAGGCUCGAAAGCGUGGGGAGCGAACAGGAUUAGAUACCCCAGUAGG